GCGCUUGUAGCUCAGCCGGAUAGAGUGACUGGCUACGAACCAGUAGGUCGGGGGUUCGAGUCCCUCCAAGCGCG
rnacentral:tRNA from 1 species